CGAACCAGCGCGGGAGAGACCCGGACCAACCGAGCCGGGCGCCGAAGGAGCAAAUCCUCCCCGGAAUCUCUCAGGCACCCAGGACCGCGCCGGUGAG
rnacentral:ncRNA from 2 species